rnacentral:rRNA from 1 species
UGGGGAAUAUUGCACAAUGGGCGCAAGCCUGAUGCAGCCAUGCCGCGUGUGUGAAGAAGGCCUUCGGGUUGUAAAGCACUUUCAGCGGGGAGGAAGGCGGUGAGGUUAAUAACCUCAUCGAUCGACGUUACCCGCAGAAGAAGCACCGGCUAACUCCGUGCCAGCAGCCGCGGUAAUACGGAGGGUGCAAGCGUUAAUCGGAAUUACUGGGCGUAAAGCGCACGCAGGCGGUCUGUCAAGUCGGAUGUGAAAUACCCGGGCUCAACCUGGGAACUGCAUUCGAAACUGGCAGGCUAAGGUCUUGUAGAGGGGGGUAGAAUUCCGGGUGUAGCGGUGAAAUACGUAGAGAUCUGGAGGAAUACCGGUGGCGAAGGCGGCCCCCUGGACAAAGACUGACGCUCAGGUGCGAAAGCGUGGGGAGCAAACAGG